GCCACGGUGGCGAAAUUGGUAUACGCGCACGACUCAAAAUCGUGUUCUUAUUGUGAGAGUGAGGGUUCGAAUCCCUCCCGUGGCACCA
rnacentral:tRNA from 1 species